rnacentral:rRNA from 4 species
UGGGGAAUAUUGGACAAUGGGGGGAACCCUGAUCCAGCCAUGCCGCGUGUGUGAAGAAGGCCUUAUGGUUGUAAAGCACUUUAAGCGAGGAGGAGGCUCUCUUGGUUAAUACCCAAGAAGAGUGGACGUUACUCGCAGAAUAAGCACCGGCUAACUCUGUGCCAGCAGCCGCGGUAAUACAGAGGGUGCGAGCGUUAAUCGGAUUUACUGGGCGUAAAGCGUGCGUAGGCGGCUUUUUAAGUCGGAUGUGAAAUCCCCGAGCUUAACUUGGGAAUUGCAUUCGAUACUGAGAAGCUAGAGUAUGGGAGAGGAUGGUAGAAUUCCAGGUGUAGCGGUGAAAUGCGUAGAGAUCUGGAGGAAUACCGAUGGCGAAGGCAGCCAUCUGGCCUAAUACUGACGCUGAGGUACGAAAGCAUGGGGAGCAAACAGG